rnacentral:rRNA from 1 species
UACAGAGGUGGCAAGCGUUGUUCGGAAUUACUGGGCGUAAAGGGCGCGUAGGUGGCCUUUUGAGUCAGACGUGAAAUCCCCCGGCUUAACCUGGGAACUGCGUCUGAUACUGGAAGGCUUGAGUUCGGGAGAGGGAUGUGGAAUUCCAGGUGUAGCGGUGAAAUGCGUAGAUAUCUGGAGGAACACCGGUGGCGAAGGCGGCAUCCUGGACCAAUUCUGACGCUGAGGAGCGAAAGCCAGGGGAGCAAACGGG